GGGGAGAUGGCUUGGUUGGUAAAGUGCUUGCCUGACAAGCAGGAGGACCUGAGUUUGAUUCUCAGACUCCCCCCA